AAUUCAUGAAAAACUCACUUUCCACUAAUAUACCUUGGACUGCCACUUUCGCCAACUAAACUUCCAGUGUGAAAUAACCGUUAUACUCUAAAAGCGCUUUUAGAGAUAUUUUUAUAUUUAACAUUCUCCCUCGCAUCUGGAUUCGAGACUUUUUGCAAGGCGCAUGUCGUGGACUAAAUUAAAUGGAAGAAAUUUAAUAAUAUUAGGAGCUUCCCGCGACUCGAAUUUAGAACUUCCUGCUCUGAUACUAUAUGAAACAAUCGUUGUACUAUAAAAACUUAAGUUGUUAGAAAAUGGUGUUUAUAUCUUUUUAUAUUUAACACCCAGCAUGUGCUUUCAACCCUCUUAUUGACAAAUUCCAAAAAAGACUUUUAGGAUGGAAGAGUGCUUUGAUUUCACAAGCUGUUCAUGUCUUUUUGAUUGAUUUAGUCCUUACAAAUUUAUCAAUCCACCACCUCUUUGUUUUAUCAUACACCAUCUGUUGGAGCUCCAGCGGCAUUUUCUUUGGAGCAAAUCCUUUCCUACAAGGGAAGGUUUACCUCUAGUCGCCUGGGAUGUUGUGACUCGACCUAAACCUCUAGACAGACAUGGAAUCGCAAACAUCAGCCACCAGAAUUUGUUUCUUCUCUGUAAGUGGCUUUGGAUAUUUCUUUGACAACCGAAUUCACCUUGGGCAAUUUUAAUUAAAUCGGUGUAUUAUUCCAUCUUCCCUCUCGGCUAGAAGCAUCCUGAACAGACCUCUCAUUUUUUGGCAUUGUGUGCUCAAGACAUAUUCUAUUUUCAAAUUUUCACACUCUUUUGUUAUAUGUCGUGGCUCGAAGACAUUUUUCUUAUUAUCACCUUGGAUUGGCGCCCCCCUUAUGGAUCAAUUUUCGGUUCUAUUCUCCUUCUCGACUCACAAAAUUCGCUCGCAUCCGAGGCAUUUAUUGUUAAUUUAACCUCAUUACUAAUCAUCUCUUACCUCUCCAUCAUCGCAGACUACGAGUUUUUUGUACUUUGCCGCAGGUUUCGUGAUUUUCAAAUUUGUUCCGAUCCUGACAUUUGCUAUUGGAAAUGGAAUCCCAAUGGCACCUUCUCCACUGCAUCAGUCUACAAGUUGUUCUUUGCCGGCUCCACAUCUGACUCGAUCUCGAACACAGUUUGGUAUUGUUCUGCGCCUCCUCGGGUGCAAUUUUUUAUGUGGCUUCUGUUUAAAGACCGAAUUUUAACUCUUGACAACCUCCGGCGUCGUGGUUGGAUUCUGGCCUCUAGAGGUGAGCUUUGCCUCAAUGCUAGCGAAGAUAUUAUCCACCUGUUUCUCCAAUGCCCCUACUCCACAGCAGUGUAGGCAUCCCUCAAUCUACCUCUUUGUCUGUCGCAGCCAUCAAUUUUUGGACUUUGGAGGUUUUUGGGCAAAUUGGUCAUUUCUCUUACCUAAGCAUAGUCGAAGUAUUGGAACACUAUCUUCAACUGUUUCGCUUGGUCCAUCUGGUGUGAGCGGAAUAAUCGUAUCUUCGACGACACUAGCUCUACUGCUAGUUGUAUUUGCAAGCUAAUUGCCGAUGUUGACCUCUUGCCUUUCGCAUGAUAGUCUAGAAUUUUUCCAGUCUUUUAAAUUCAGACGCUACUUUUUAAUGAUAGUCUGAAAUUUUGUACUCCGCUUUUAUCUUUCACUAUUAACAUUUUGGUCAACCUAUUUGGGCUGGCCUUUUCUUUUUGCAAAAAAAAAAAAAAAANACGCAAUUGGCAAAAAGCUUGGUGGUUGAUAACCGAGGUCCAAAUUUGAAUCUUAAUUUAUUUAUAUUUUCAACUAAAUUUAUUUCUAAAAAAAAAAAGAAAAAAAGAAAAAACUCUGAACGUCCCUUGAACUUGCAAGUAAUAAUAAGAAAAUUUUGUAGUGCUUUUUUUUAAGAGAGAAAGAUAACAUGCUAUCUGUUUCGCUUAUUUUUUUUAGAAAUAAAUUUAGUUGAAAAUAUAAAUAAAUUAAGAUUCAAAUUUGGACCUCGGUUAUCAACCACCAAGCUUUUUGCCAAUUGCGUUAGGGACAGUCGGUGAAAUUUUGUAGUACUAGUUGUUACGUCGCAAUAGUUAACUAUCAUAAAAACCUACAUUGGGAGGUUAAUGAUCCGAAUUGCCAAUCAAUAAAUUAUUUUUUUUUUUUUAGAGAGAUAGGUAGCACGCUACCCGCUUCGUUUAUUUUAUUUAGAAAUAAACUUAGCUAGAAAUGUGAAUCAACUAGGUUUCGAACUUGGAUCUCGGGUACCAACCACCAAGUCCUUUGCCACUUGCUCUAGGGACGGUCGGUCCAAUCGAUAAAUGUUGAGCACUGUUUAAUUUACCCGUCUCAUGUUCGUGAUAUUGUUGUAGUUUUUUUUUUUUUUUUUUUUUUUUUUUUUUUUGAGAGAGAGAGAGAGAGAUAGGUAGCAUGUUACCCGAAUCAAUUAAGAUUCGAAUUUGAAAUCUCAGGUAUCAAUCACCAAGUCCUUUGCCACUUGUGUUAGGAACGGUCAGUAGAUAUUGUUGUAGUUACCAUCAACUAGUUGCCAAGUUUCAAGGGCUAGUUAUUGGAGUCGGAGCUCAGAAGGUACCAGAUGAUGGAUUAGACCCGUUAUGAAGGAGGCCCAGUAAUAUGUUUUUAAACACAUGGUGAACGGGUCCAGCAGAUCAAUCCGUUAUCUCUGUUGCCAAUUCCAUCAACUAAAAAAUUAUAGUUAUUCGAGUAGAUAUUUCUCUAUUUAGUAGAUGCAAAUUCUGAAAGAACUCUAUAUAAAAGAUUGUAAAAGGAGGUAUUUGUAAGUACUUUAGAUUCAUAGUAUAUAUAUUUUUUUGUGCUUUAACAGUUAUUUUUAAAUAAAAUUGAUAGUCAAGAUUGAAAACUUUCUGAAAAAAAAAAAAAGAAAAUAAUAUUAGUUGGCCUUCAUGUAGUUGAUUUGACCCCCACGAAGGUCAUCACGUCCACUAUAAAAUUUAGAGAAAGAGAGAAGUUUUUUUUUUUUUUUGAGAAAUAGAUAGCAAGUUACCUGCUUCAUUCAUUAAGCAAAAUAAAUUUAGGAAACAUGAUGGAAGUAGCUAGGGCUUUCAGACCGAACCGGCGACAGAGGAAAAACAUAAAGAAAACAAAACAGAAACACAAAUAAAACAUAGAAAAUCAACAAAACGGGACUACAAAUGUGCUUAGAGCAGCGGAUGAAAAAACCCGGGAGAGAGAAGUUCUUUAUUCAUUUUUUUUGAAUUCUUUUUUAAGUUUGCGGCAUUAACAUUCGUAUAGAAAGCCUCUAAAUUAGAUAAGAUUUUUAAAUUUGAAUAUUAAUUACCCAACUGUUUCGAUAAAAUUUCAUUAAGAAGCUCUUCAAUGAAGCUGCACUAAGCUGUUCAAGCAAAAUUUCUAAUUUGAGCCCAAAGCCCAAUUACGACUGUGGAUCAAUUUAAUUGUAAUUUUGCCCAAGCUAAUCCAAGUCAUAAGAAUGUACUUAGCGUGGGCCAAGCUAAGCUAUACUCUCGAAUGUUACGACAAAAACAAAUGACGCGUGUUUACUCCUGAUGGCAAUCUGAUGGGUUGUUUGGACGGACAGAAAUUCGACUAUAUUCCAGGCCACAUCCCCCAAUGCCGCCAGAUAAAUUAAACGUGUCAAACUUUUGACCUCUGACUGGACUCUAAUUCAUUGAGCUUGCACCCCUCCCCUCUUCAGCUCUUCCUCUCUUCUUCUUUUCUACUUUUAUUUUAUUACUUUAUUUUGUUCUGCUCUCUUUUUUGGGUCUCGGAGGCCUCAACUGCCUCCAACUUGUACGCUUAAUUCAUCUUACUUUAUGAAUGAAACAGGUAGCUUGCUACCUAAUUCUCAAAAAAAAUACGUAUAUACAAGUUUUGGCUUGAGAUAUUGAUAGCAUAUGUAUUCUUUUUUUUCUUUUUAUUAUUAUUAUUUUUUUGAUUGAACAGGCGUAUACCUUAUUUGAGAAAAUAUAACAUACAAGUCCAGAGACCAACUGGAAGACUCAAAUUCAAGAAAAAUACCUAAAAUCCCCCUCAUUUAACACCAUUUCCAUAACAAUAUCAUUCCAAGCUUCGACCGGCCCCGGCAAGCACCAGUGUAAGCAAUCAUUUUGAGUCCUCUUACUCAAAUCCGGAUGAAAGCGCCGAUACGGCCCCGGGUGCCCGUCAGGCCUUAAAAGAGAAAGAUGGUAAAUGUCCAAAAGCCGAAUCCGCGUCCUGUUUCGUGUCCCGACCACCACCGCCUUCUCAAACUCCUCGAUUUCGACCUGUCGCAUUAACCGGUCCGCAUCAUGUUCACUAAACUCACCUUCUUUGUAAGGUUUAGUCCGAUUGCAAACCCCUCCGCUGUACCACCUCCCGAACUUGAAGUGGUCCGGAGUCCAAGUCCUAAAGAGAACAAUUGGCUUGUGAUCCGAGCUAAGGAUGAAGCGAAACGCCAAUUGUAGGGCUUUUCGGUACGAGAAGUCGCUACGGAGUUCAGGUAAGUUCAUUCCGGGACAGUAAUUGCAACCGAUAGCUGUACCGUUCUCGUAGAAUAUAGUUGUUUUGAGGAACCAAUGGCCACCGGAAAUUACUAUGUAGUCGUAGUCAUCGUAUCGGCUCGUCCACCGACUCUCAAGGACGUCGAGAUGGACUGUGAUGUUAUCGACUUUGUCGCUAGCUUUGAGUAGAAAAGGAGCCCAAAUUGCUGCUAGGGUGAAGUUGUGUGAAGGGAAGUGCCAUAUGCUAGAUUUAUAUGUUUCGUCGCGAACAACUUCUUCGACCUGAGGGCCAAAAUAUAAUUUCACAUAAUUAGGAUACUAGCCUUAACCAAAAAGUUCAAAUCGAAAUGGUAGGCACCUUAGAGAGAAGGCAAAGCAAUGAGGCUAAUUGGUUGCGAAGGAUUGAAUCACCGAUGAAUACCCACGAUUUAUUUCGCAUCGAAUUUAAGAACUUGUUUGCAUUAAAUAGAGGUAAUUCGCAACCAUAUGGCUUCCAUCUCCAGUAAAGAUACUCUGUGUCGGGUCGCCCGUUUGUCGUACAAUCGCGAGGGGCGUCGAUGAAUUCACAACUUGCAUUUGUAUAAGCCGGUCCUGCAGGAUUUGCAAUCCACUUGCCCGUGAAGAGAUCACAUUGUUCUGCACCAUAUUUCAUACAAGGUUUGUCAGAUUUUUUUUUUUUUUUUUUUUUAAAGCAUGUUUAAGAGAAGUAUAUGUAAUAUCCAAAUAUUGCAGAGAGUAAUUUGCAAAAAACACAAUAUGAUAAUACUAUAAUGAGUGGUGUGAGUGUAGUGCGAGCUAUCUCUUAAACCCGUAGGAGCCAUCCACCUCUUGAACCCAUAGGAGCCACAUAUAGAACCUCACAUGGUCUGAUAAUUCUAAUUCUGAUUUGUCUGUUUGGAUUUGGACCUGAUGAGAAUCCGAUGUGGGAUACUGAUUCCAAUCAAUUUAUAUAAAGUCUCGCACGCUAGUAAUAAAAAACUGGAAUUAAAUAUUUUGGGCCGGUGGUUUGAGCCCAACAAAUUAUUGUUCCUAGCGGAUCGAAUCGUUACGGGUUAAACCAGACCAAAUGUUCCAACACUUACCCGGGCCAAUAUUUGGUCCAGUUUUGACAACUAUAGCCGAAUUCAAGUACUAGAGAUACAUUGAGUUCGAGUCCAAUGCAGCUAGAAGAAUUUUAUGAGGGGGUUUGAAAGAAAGAUCAAAAGAAAAAUAAAGUAAAAUGUGAUCAUAAACUAUAUAUGGCACCUCUCUGAAGUUUCCCAGCUAUGGCAUUCACCAACUCUGCGUCCUCUGCUGCGAAGGCAUCGACGAACAAGUGGAGGCGAAGGGCGAAGGCGACGAAGAUGACAGAGACCAAAACCAUGGCGACGUCGUGGCCGAGCUCCGCCUUAGUCGUCAUGAAUACACAAAAAGAAUAUGCGAAGAAGAAGAAGACGAACUAAAGGAAAGUAAAAAAGGUGUACGAAGAGAUCAUUUACAUGCAAAGUUGAUGGAAGGUCAUGAUUUGUGUGCUUCUCAGGGCAUGCAAUUAUUUUCCUGCAUUAUAAUCUCAAAAAGUAAAUUAUUUUCGGGCAUUCAUCUGCAUGAUGGCAUGCAUUAAUGAUUAUUGUUUCAUCAACCCAAAAAUCCAAAAGGAAUCCCAAUAUGGUAAAUCGUAAUUAAAGAACUUAUCUGAAUUAUAGAUUAUUUUGAAAAUAUUAUGUGAUAUAUCAAACUUUUAGUUUUAUUAUUCAAUUUUUCAAUUUAUUUAAUUUGAGUCAAUCAAUAAUAUUUUGACUUCAAAAUUUAAACUAAUAACUUAUUUUAAUAAAUUUAUCGUUGUGACAACUGUAUGGAAUGUACUAACUAAAUAUAUAAAAAUCAACGAUACAUUCAAUUUUAAAGUCAAAAUAUCGUUGAUGGACUCAAAUUAAACAAAUUGCAAGGCUUGGUGGUAAAUUUAAAAUUUUGAAAAGUUGGAUAAUUGAGUCAAAAUAGUCUAUAGUUUAAAUAAGUUUUUUAUAUUUUUACCGUUUUUUUGAGAGAAAGGUAGCAUGCAACCUGCUUCGUUUAUUUUAUUUAAAAAUAAACUUAGCUGGAUAUGUGAAUCAACUAGUAUUCGAACUUGGGUCUCAUGUACCAACCACCAAACCCUUUUGCCACUUGCGUUAGGGACGGUCUGUUAUUACCUUUUAAAAAUUAGUUAUUAAUUAUUUGGUAACAAGUUUUUGUUUAUUUUUUUUUUAGGCAAGAAAAAAGUUAAUAUGCUAUUCACUUUGUUUAUUAAAAAAAAAUUUAACUAAAAAUAUAUAAGUAAUUAAACUUCGAACUUAAGAUCUCAUAUAUCAAUCAUUAAAUUUUUUAUCAUUUGGGCCAGGAACGAUCAAUGUUUUGUUGAAUAUUUUUAAAAAUAACUAGAAUGGUGGUCGCUGGAUAUAUAGACAGAGACAAUUGUGUAAGUGCAUAAUUAAAAUUAUUAUAAUUAUAGAGAAAGUACUUUGAACUCAUGAUAAAGUGCAAGAAAUUUUGUAAUUUAGCCGAGAAAUAAUUGCAAAAUAAUAGAAUUGUGCAGGUUCAUGCAUGAAUGAGCCCACACUAGCUCCUCCUGAUUGCUUUAGAGCUUUUGCUAUUAACAGAUAUGGUUUUCAAUACCAACAGAAAAUUUUAUUAAAUUUGAUCGCUAUUCCCUGAUCGAAUUUGACUCAAUUCAAUACAUCUGUUUUGUCUUACACCGAGUGCAAAUCUCUUUUAGUACAGUUCGUGAGCCCGCAACCCAACAGGAGAGGCAAGAAGAGUCUCAUUUUGCUGCGCAAAUAUCAGGUAUUGAACCUUAAACAUCAAGCUCUAUAUGUCUUAAUAAUCAGCAAAAAUUAGGGCAAAGAUGAUUACAAAUAUGGAAAAUUAACUAUCAAAAAUGUAGUCACAAAUUAACAUGAUUUACUAGAUAAAAUAGCACAAAUUGCUCUCUCCAAUUUAUAUAGCGAUUAAAGAGGUUGCUUUUUCACUUUUGAGUCACAUAGUGCGAGAUUUUGAUUCUAAUUUAAUGUGUAAGAUUAAGAUUUAAGCCACAGAAAAAGACAAUCCAACAAACUAAUUGGGUUGGUUGUCCACAUGCGCUUUGUUGGAUUGUAAAUAUGUCACAAUUUUUUGGUUCAAGCACAUGGAAACUGCUUCGCUUAAGUACCUAAUCUAAUUAAUGUUUAAUUUUAUUUAGACACUCAUGUUUAUGUAUAACUUUAGAUCCAAAAAUAAAUUAAGUAUUAAUUAAUUAUUGCAAUGAACAUAUAUAAAUAACGGAUGACCUGUAGCUAUCGAGUAUAAUUAAUCCAAAUGCUUCUGAGGAAAAUGAAACCAAGGACUUCAUAUUGUAUCAUUUUAUUUUUUAACAUAUCAUUUUGAUUUCUAAUUUCUAAUUUUAAUUGUUGUAUAAAGGUUUCCACGCCCAAUAAAUAGAUCAAUCAAUUUAGAAACGUACGGCUCCGGAGUUAAUCGGUUCAAUCAAAAUUUAACUUAGGACCAACAUUGCACAACAAUCUGUCCAGCUCCAGCUAAUAAAUUAAAUAUAAUCCAUAUUAUUUUCUUUUUCUUUCAAAAUUCGUGUUAUUAUUUACUAAUUUUUAACUUUUUCUUCAAGAAAGAUAAAUGAUUUAUAUAGUUAAACAAAGACUAGAAAAAUGAGAUAAAAAAUAAAAGUAUCAAUGAUAUGUAGCUACCUACAAUGUAACUUCCAUGUUUUUACAUUUGCAGGUUAGGAUACAUAUAUGCAUAUACAUAACAUGCUUUCCAAUUAUACAAGUAUAGGAUACUACCUAUUCACAACAACUAUUCUACUUAUUAAAUGCGCCAUCUCUGUCACUAUCCCCAACCAAACCACACUCACACUCUUAUACAUAAUGGCAAAGCAACAUGGCCAUUUUUCUUGUACGUAUGUGUCUCUUAGAUGGAGCCAAAAGUUGGGGAGGAGGAAGAAGAGGAAGGAAAGAAAGAGGGAAGGUUGUGUGUGUGGGAUUGCGGGAGCCCGCUCUAUGACGCCUUCGAGCUCGUCUCCGUGUCUCACCUCAUCGACCGACAUGUCAUGGCGCUGCCCUUUGUGAAGGAGCGCAACGCGUCGUCCGUGAGGUUCGAGUACGCCGUGUUCGACGGGCGCGACGUCGAAGCAGCGAGAGGAGGGAGGAGGAGGAUGAAGAAGAUGUUGGUGGUCAUGGGGAGGAGGGGACAGAAGGAGGUGGCCAAGUUGAGGAGAAAGGUUAGGGUGAGAUUGCAUGGUGCGUUCAAAGCCAUAUAUGCAUGCUUGUUCGAGAGGACUAUGAAGUGUGUGUAAUCUUUUGUAAUUGCCUUUUUUUUUUAAUUACUCGAUCCAUCCCUUGUUUCCUUUUAUUUUGUUGCUUAACUUGCUUUUGAUCGCAAUGUUUUUGGACAUAUAUGGUAAGUUGCACCAAUAUUUAAUGUGAGACUAUUCACAUAUACUGUGAAAAUUUGAACAUCUAAAGAUGCCCUUCAUAACUCAAUUUUCUAGUUUGCAGGCCCAUCAAGUGGGAUCUGCAUGUAAUAUUUAUUUCUUGAAAAUGUAUAGAAACUUAUCUCUGAACCAUUUUGAAUCAAAUAUUCAACCUUUCAAAAUUUUAAUUUUACUAUCAAACUUUUCAAUUUGUUUGAUUUGAGUCAGUCAACGACACUUUGACUUAAAAUUUUAAACUAAUUAUUUAUUUUAAUAGAUUUAUAGUUAUGAGAAAUACGUAAAAUAUACUAACUAAAUUUAUAGAGAUAAAUGAUACAUUCAAAUUUUGUAAUCAAAAUAACAUUGACUAACUCAAAUCAAACAAUCUGAAAAAUUAAUAUUAAAAUUAAAAUUUUAAAAGAUUGAAUAGCUUAUUUAAAAUAGUCCAUAGUUCACGUAAGCUAUGUACAUUUUUACCUAUAUUUUCAUAGGUAGGCUCUCAAGUUUCCUUUUUCAUGAUCUGGAAAAGGAAAAUGUUUAAUUGGGUUCAUAAUCAGAUGUUAUUAUUUCUACAUGAAAUAAAAAAUUUCCAUCAAUAAUUUGCUGUUACAAUGGGCCCAGAGCUAAAUUGCACUAGAUAAUUUGUUCCACCAGAAAGGAAAAUCUAAUUAAAAUUUUCUCUACAUUUCAUUUAAUUUUGAGUGAAGACUCUUGAUUACAUUUUGUUGACCAAAUACAAGUUAGAUUACAAGGACAAGUGAACUCAACGGUCAAUGCUUGGGUAUGACUUAGUUGACCUUCUCCCGAACAUUCCGUCAAUUGCAUAAGCCGAAUAUGAGCUAGCUCGUCAAAGUAUUGAGCCGAAAAAUUCAGCUUGUGUUCGGCUCGUUUAUUAACGAGCCGAACAUGAUCUGGCUUACGAGCUGACCAACGAAUAAUAAAUUAAAAAUAAUUAGAUUAAAUAUAUAUAAAAAAUAAAUUUAUCAAAUCUUAUCCAUUAAAUUUUGAUCUAAUAAUUAAAACUUUACAUAUAAAUGAAAUCUUUUAUAAUUAAGCCUCGCAUUUAUAUUUUUAUUUACUAAAAAUAAAUAAUAAAAAUAUAUAUUAUAUAUAAUUAUUUAUUUAUAUAUAAAAAUAUAAAUUAAAUAAAUUAUAUAAUAUUAAAAUAUAUGUAUUCGAGUUGUUAUCGAGCCGAACACGAGCGAGCUGACCCCAGCUCCGUGUUCGGCUCGUUUACUAAACGAGUGAGCCGAUUCAAGCUCAUUUCGAGCGAACAUGAGCUGGCUUGCGACAGUUGAGGCUGAAUUGCCACCCCUACUUUUGGAUAACUAUUCCAAAAGUAUAUACCGAUAGAAAGUAUGCAUUUUAUCAUACUUAAGGACUUAACUAUUAUGCUCAUGGACUUCAAUCUGACUCAAUUCAUCUGGAUAUUGAAUAUAUUAUUAGAUAUCUUCCCGUUGAGUCAAUUAUAAACCGCAACCUCAUUCAACUUAUUUGACUCAAUUCAAUUAAAUUUAUUAAUUUUCUGUACCUAUUGUCCAAUUUAAUUUAUUAGUAUUCUAGAUCAAUUAUGGGAUGGAAAGUUGGGUCUAUUUCAGCCAACAUUUCCCCCCCCCCUCCCCUUCCUCCAUCACUGCUAACUGACUAUUCUAACCGUAAAUGCCGAUAGGAGAUAGGCAUUCAUCACACCUAAGGACUUAGCCACAGUAAUCACAAAUUUCGAGCUGACUCAAUCUAUCUAAACAUUGGAUCUAUAAUUGAGUCUCUUAUUAUUAAAUCUACUAUGCACUGCAGCCUCACUCAACUUAUUAGUCUUCUAAAUUUAUUGUCACAAGACAAAAACUUAUACCUAUCUCAACCAACAUAUUUUCCGCCAAAAUUUAAGCUACUAAAUAAUAAUAUUUUUAUAUUUUUAUAUUCAAUACUUCUCUAAAA
rnacentral:lncRNA from 1 species